CAGUUUCUAUCCUCUUUUUGAAAUGAGCUAAUUUUGUACGAAAGGACUUUUUCGCUAAAGCAAUGCUUUGUCACAAAUCUGUGUUUGCAUGAAUAAUAGUGUAUAAUAGGUUGAUUAGCCUAUAGAAAGGGUUA
rnacentral:rRNA from 1 species